rnacentral:rRNA from 1 species
GACGAACGCUGGCGGCGUGCCUAAUACAUGCAAGUCGAACGCUUCUUUCCUCCCGAGUGCUUGCACUCAAUUGGAAAGAGGAGUGGCGGACGGGUGAGUAACACGUGGGUAACCUACCCAUCAGAGGGGGAUAACACUUGGAAACAGGUGCUAAUACCGCAUAACAGUUUAUGCCGCAUGGCAUAAGAGUAAAAGGCGCUUUCGGGUGUCGCUGAUGGAUGGACCCGCGGUGCAUUAGCUAGUUGGUGAGGUAACGGCUCACCAAGGCCACGAUGCAUAGCCGCCCGGAGAGGGUGAUCGGCCACACUGGGACUGAGACACGGCCCAGACUCCUACGGGAGGCAGCAGUAGGGAAUCUUCGGCAAUGGACGAAAGUCUGACCGAGCAACGCCGCGUGAGUGAAGAAGGUUUUCGGAUCGUAAAACUCUGUUGUUAGAGAAGAACAAGGACGUUAGUAACUGAACGUCCCCUGACGGUAUCUAACCAGAAAGCCACGGCUAACUACGUG